GUGGGGAAUUUUGGACAAUGGGCGAAAGCCUGAUCCAGCCAUGCCGCGUGCAGGAUGAAGGCCUUCGGGUUGUAAACUGCUUUUGUACGGAACGAAAAGACUCCUUCUAAUAAAGGGGGUCCAUGACGGUACCGUAAGAAUAAGCACCGGCUAACUACGUGCCAGCAGCCGCGGUAAUACGUAGGGUGCAAGCGUUAAUCGGAAUUACUGGGCGUAAAGCGUGCGCAGGCGGCUUUGCAAGACAGAUGUGAAAUCCCCGGGCUCAACCUGGGAACUGCAUUUGUGACUGCAAGGCUAGAGUACGGCAGAGGUGGAUGGAAUUCCGCGUGUAGCAGUGAAAUGCGUAGAUAUGCGGAGGAACACCAAUGGCGAAGGCAAUCCCCUGGGCCUGUACUGACGCUCAUGCACGAAAGCGUGGGGAGCAAACAGGAUUAGAAACCCGUGUAGUCC
rnacentral:rRNA from 1 species